AUUCAACAGUACAUUCAAACUUACAAUGGCAAGAUAUUCAAAUUACAGAAAUUAUUUCUGGAAGGUUCAAGCAAUCAUGAGCAAAGAGAGGAACCGAAUCUGGACCAAGAAAAUGAGAACGAGUUCAGUGACGUCUUAAAAGGAAUGAAUCCGUUGGAAAUAGUAAAAAGAAUGUGC